rnacentral:rRNA from 1 species
GACGAACGCUGGCGGCGUGCUUAACACAUGCAAGUCGAACGGUGAAGGGACCGGUUUUUGCUGGUUCUGGAUGAGUGGCGAACGGGUGAGUAACACGUGAGUAACCUGCCCCCUUCUUCUGGAUAACCGCAUGAAAGUGUGUCUAAUACGGGAUAUUCUGCGCCUGCUGCAUGGUGGGUGUGGGAAAGAUAUUGUUUCGGUGGGGGAUGGGCUCGCGGCCUAUCAGCUUGUUGGUGGGGUGAUGGCCUACCAAGGCGGUGACGGGUAGCCGGCCUGAGAGGGUGGACGGUCACACUGGGACUGAGACGCGGCCCAGACUCCGACGGGAGGCAGCAGUGGGGAAUAUUGCACGAUGGGCGGAAGCCUGAUGCAGCGACGCCGCGUGAGGGAUGGAGGCCGUCGGGUUGUAAACCUCUUUCGCCAGUGAAGCAGGCCUGUCCCUUGUGUGGGUGGGUUGACGGUAGCUGGAGAAGAAGCGCCGGCUAACUACGUG